rnacentral:sRNA from 1 species
CUGGCCACCAAUGCCGCCUUCGACUCCACCCUGACCCACCUGGACCUUUCCGGGAAUCCUGGGGCGCUGGGGGCCUCCGAGGACAGUGGGGGCCUCUAUAGCUUCCUGAGCCGUCCUAACGUACUGUCGUUCCUGAAUCUCGCAGGCACCGACACUGCCCUGGACACUGUGAGGGGGUGCUCCGUGGGGGGAUGGAUGACCGGCAGGGCGGACUGGAGGGCGGGACGGGGAGGGCUCGGUCCCCCCGCGAGUGUAGCCAACAGCCUCCCCCCGCAGCUCUUCGCAGCGGUAUCCCGAGGCUGCUGCACCAGCCUUACCCACCUCGACGCUUCGAGGAACGUCUUCUCCCGCACGUAAGGGGGACCUGUCGGGGCCGGGGGAGGCUGCUGGAAGCCGCCUCCUUGCGGCCCCAGGCCCACCUUCCCACUUCCCCCAGGAAGUCCCGCGCCGCGCCGGCCGCGCUGCAGCUCUUCCUCAGCCGCGCGCGGACGCUGCGGCACCUGGGCCUGGCGGGCUGCAAGCUGCCGCCCGACGCGCUCAGGUCAGUGUCGGACCCCGGCCACGCCCCCGCGGGCGCUCCCACCCUGCCCUGGCCUUCGCCCCUCCCCGCUCCUGCUUCUGUCGCUCCCACAACCUCCCCCAGAUCCUGGCCCUGCCUCCUUCGUUCGCACCCUGGAGCCCCCUGUCCCAGCUCCCGCCACCCCGUGUAACGUCCCCUCCCAGAGCCCUUUUGGAUGGCCUCGCGCUCAACACGCACCUCCGCGACCUGCACCUGGACCUCAGCGCUUGCGAGCUGCGCUCGGCCGGCGCCCAGGUGAUACAAGACUUAGUGUGCGACGCAGGCGCUGUGAGCUCCCUGGAUCUGGCGGAUAACGGUGAGGCUGCAGGAGAUCCUAUCCUCGCAUCAUCCACUCGAUUCCCAAUCCCCACCCUACCCUUGCAACUUCGCCUCGUGCGUGACCCGAGUCACCCCCAGGCUUCGGCUCAGACAUGGUGACUCUGGUGCUGGCCAUCGGGAGAAGCCGGUCCCUGAGACAUGUGGCGCUUGGAAGGAACUUCAACGUCCGGUGCAAGUGAGCCCCCACCCUACUCCUGGGCCUCCCAGACAACACCCCACCACCCCUGUCCCCCCACAAAGGCGGCCCCUCCCCACAGGGAGACCCUGGACGACGUCCUGCACCGGAUUGUCCAGCUCAUGCAGGACGACGAUUGUGUGAGUUCACGGGACCUUGCAGGGUCCUCGGGCAAUUAGACCCCUUUGGUCCUCCUUUCUCUUGUUCCCUCAGACCCUGUGACCUGCCCUCACUGACCCCUGACUCCAGCCAUCAAUGGCUUUCUCUUAACCCCAGCCUCUUCAGUCUCUGUCGGUGGCUGAGUCUCGGCUGAAGCUGGGUGCCAGCGUCCUACUCCGGGCCCUAGCCACCAAUCCUAACCUGACCGCGCUGGAUAUCAGCGGCAACGCCAUGGGGGACGCGGGCGCCAAGUUGCUGGCCAAGGCGCUGCGGGUCAACUCGAGGCUCCGGUGGGCGGGGUCAGAGGGGUGGGACCAGCGGGCAGGGGGCGCGGUGGAGAGGAGGGCACCGGGCUAAGGGGCGGGACUGAAUGAGGCGGAGCAAAUGGAGCAGGCUGACGAGGCGAAUGGACUAGGCCGAGGGUUGGGUGGGGCGUUGGGAAGCUCCGUCCCCGACUGAAGCCAGGCCCGGCCCAGGUCUGUGGUCUGGGACCGGAACCACACAUCUGCUCUGGGUCUGCUGGACGUGGCGCAGGCGCUGGAGCAGAACCACAGCCUGAAGGCCAUGCCUCUGCCACUGAACGACGUGGCCCAGGCGCAGCGCAGCCGCCCGGAACUGACAGCACGUGCAGUCCAUCAGGUGGGCGUCCCCCUCUUCCCUUGCCCUUCUCUGCACGGUAGCUCCGUCCCUCGGCAUUUCUCAAUACCCCUUGCCCCUAGAUCCAAACCUGUCUCUUGAGGAACAACCGCGCAGACCCUGCCUCUUCUGACCACACGACCCGCCUUCAGCCACUUGGUCUGGUCUCAGACCCCUCAGAGCAGGUCAGUGUCCCCUCCCCAACCACGAGAGGUAGGGCAUGAGGAGACCUGUGGCAUCCGGGAGCCUCCAUGAGUCAGAGGGUCUGACUUUCCUGGGGCCAGGGUGCCUGAGCCCUGCUGUCCCACACAAAGUCCCUCUCCUUGAUCUGGAGGCGGCUAAACACCCCUUAAAUAGCUCUCCAAAUAACACCCUUGGCUGCCUAACGUUAAGCCUGUAAACAGGCUGUCCUGUUAGGAAUUUUUAUGUCCUUCCUCAAUUUUCCCCCAAUUGUAGCCCCAUCUCUGACCUCACAUAUACAUGACUCCCCUCCCCUCUCCAUUGUGUGCCCAAACCCAGCUGCUCCUUCACUGUCUUCAUCUCCCUCCACUACCUUAUCUGUUGGAGAUGUUUCUACCUCUCCAUUCCCAAAUACCUCUUCUUUCCUAAGCUUUAGAGCCCAAAGGUCUUAAUCCAGACAUCCUGCUGGGCUUCAUGCUCUGCACUUCUCCAAGUGAUGUCAUCGUCGCUCACAAACCCUGUUGUCUACCCUGGAGCCCAAUCCCACUGGUGCCCACAGCCACCCAGUGCUGUGGACAGAGGUUGGGGCAUCCUUCCAGGUCUCUCCUGGUCACACUGGAGCCCUCAUAGGCCUCCUUUGUCCUGCCUCUAGACCAACCUUCAAACAUGCCACUCCUUACCCCCACACCAAUUAUCCCUUGCUCCUCCUGGUCCCUCCUCCAGGGCUACUCACUCCCUUUUCCACCCCUCUCUCAGUCUAUCCUCUGUGUGGACAGACUGAGCUUCUAAAACACAGACAUGAUUUACAACUCCUUUCCUUCCUAUUCUGGGCACUUAGGAAGUGUAUAUAAAGUCCUUAAAAUGAACCAAAGCAACAGAUAGUUCCUUCCCUCCUUGAACAGAUAGGGUUCCAAAGUGGCUGGUCUAAGGGUGUCAGCUUCAGGACCUCCCUCUGUUAAAGAGCCUGGGAGUAAGGCAGGCAGGAUCUGGGAGACUGGGAGGGGGCUAGGCUGAGACUGAUCCCCAUUUCGCCCCAGGAAGUGAAUGAAUUGUGUCAGUCGGUGCAGGAGCAUGUGGAGCUGCUGGGCUGUGGGGCUGGGCCCCAGGGUGAAGCCGCUGUGCGCCAGGCCGAGGAUGCCAUCCAAAAUGCCAACUUCUCUCUCAGCGUGAGCACUCCACCUCCUGCUACAGGGACCCUUCCCCUCUUAGUCAGGUGUCAGCUCGCAACUGCUUUUCCUCUUUGGCCCUCAGAUUCUCCCCAUUCUAUAUGAAGCUGGAAGCUCCCCAAGCCAUCACUGGCAGCUUGGGCAGAAGCUGGAGGGCCUUCUGAGACAGGUGGGCGAGGUCUGCCGCCAGGACAUCCAGGUGAGAGGCUACUCCUGCUCCAACCCCACCUCCGUUUGCAGGUUUGACUCCCAUCCUUUAGUUUUAACUGUGAUAUCCCCUGACUCAAUAUUCUGUUGGAGUUGGAGCCUCAAGCCAGCAGCCUGGUGUCUGGCCACAUCCUCACCAUGCUCUGACUGACCUUUGUCCAGGACUUCACUCAGGCCACACUGGACACAGCAAGGAGCCUCUGCCCACAGAUGCUGCAGGGAUCCAGCUGGAGGGAGCAGCUAGAGGGGGUCCUGGCAGGCUCGAGGGGCCUCCCGGAGCUGCUCCCAGAGCAGCUGCUGCAAGAUGCCUUCACUAGGCUCAGGUAGGCUGGAUGGGGCUGGGCUGGGCAAGGCUGAGCAAAGCCAGCCCAUUAACCCCUGUCCUCUCCUGCCCUUAGGGACAUGCGGCUAUCAAUCACGGGGACCUUGGCAGAGAGCAUUGUGGCUCAGGCUUUGGCAGGCCUGAGUGCAGCCCGGGAUCGGCUGGUGAGGGGGAGAUGUGCACACACUUUCGUGCAAACACACACAUGCAGUGACUUGGCCAUCUCCCUUGCAGGGGCUCUGUAAUGUCUUCUGGGGUCAUGUAGCCCAGGGCUAUUUCAGGGUCCCCUUAGUUAGCAUCAAUGGGAUCAUGGCUGAGGCCCUACCUGCCAUCUUUGGCUGCUUGGUAUUGCAGGUGGAGAGUCUGGCUCAGCAGGCAACAGUGACAGUGCCCCCUGCCCUACCAGCACCGGAUGGAGGUGAGCCCAGCCUCCUUGAGCCUGGGGAAUUGGAAGGUCUUUUCUUCCCCGAGGAGAAGGAAGAGGAGAAGGAGAAGGAUGACAGUCCUCCACAGAAAUGGCCUGAGCUCAGCCACGGUCUUCACCUGGUCCCCUUCAUUCACAGUGCUGCUGAGGAAGCGGAGCCGGAGCCCGAGCUGGCGGCUCCGGGAGAAGAUGCAGAGCCGCAGGCGGGGCCGUCCGCGCGCGGCUCUCCGAGCCCUGCCGCCCCUGGGCCCCCGGCCGGCCCGCUGCCCCGCAUGGACCUGCCACUGGCGGGGCAGCCCCUGCGCCAUCCGACCCGGGCCCGGCC